AAGAGUGUGCUCCUGGGAGAGCAGUCAGCCUCCAAAGCUGACGGAGUGGGUUCGAAUCCUACCGCUCUUG
rnacentral:tRNA from 1 species